rnacentral:rRNA from 1 species
AGUGAACGCUGGCAGUAGGCUUAACACAUGCAAGUCGUACGGCAGUCCAGUAAGAGCUUGCUCAUACGAGUGGCGCGUGGCGGAAGGGUGUGGAAUACUUCGGCAUCAACUUUUUAGAGGGGGCUAACGCGGGGAAAAUUACGCUAAUACGGCAUACGAACUCAUGGUGCAAGCAAGGGAUCUUCGGACCUCACGAGAUUUAAUGGUCCGAUGUCGGAUUAGCUAGUUGGCGGGGUCAAGGAGCAGCAAGGCGACGAUCCGUAGCUGGUCUGAGAAGGUGAGCAGGCAGACCUGAACUGAUACACGGUCCAGACUCCAACGGGAUGCAGCAGUGAGGAAUAUGGGACAAAGGAGGCAAGCCUAUUCGAGCCAUACCGCAUGGGUGAAGAAGGCAUUCGGGUUGUAAAACCAAUGUGUUGGGAAAGAAAAGCAGCAGGUUAAUAGCCCACGGUACUGACGGUACCCAAAGAAUAAGCAACGGCUAACUUCGUG